rnacentral:lncRNA from 1 species
GCCUAUGAUCUACAGUGCCCAUUCCAACUCAGAGAAUCUUUACAUCUGGAGAUCUAUAGCAGGGCUAUCCCUAGUGACAUGCGUGAAGAAGCUUGGAAAUGGUGCUGGGUAGGAGCUGAGUGUGCAGAAUGUGGAAAGGCAUUCUAAACCAAAGGAAGAACACGAGUAAAGAUGAUGAAGCAGGGAUAAGGCUAAAAUGAAAUUUGUGAUCUGAUCCACAUACAAGCACAGUGUAGUACAGCUGGAAUAUAGAGAAGAGCUUGAAGACUUAUGAGCAACUAUCCCGGUACUCUUGGAGGCUCUGCAACCACAGUUUGAGAAACUCCGCGUUCAAAGUUAAAAACUGUCACCUGAAUAGUUAAUAACAUCAAAGAUUGUGAAAGCAAGUAUAAAUAACACAGAGAUUAAAAUAAUGAGGCAGGAUCAGAAAGGAUUAUUUUCAGACCUCAUGAAGCUGCUGGCUUAUAGAACAGGAGUCUUUCUGUUGGCAGCCAGGAGAGAUACAAGAGGGGGAGGACAGAUUCUGCAGCUCCAUUUCGUCCUUGGAACAGGAGAAAGGGUUGGAAAACAAAGAUCACUUUUCUCUGGCCAAAUGGAAUCACCCAACAAAGUACCUUCCUGAUGGGCCAGCUAUUUCAGAUGAUGA